rnacentral:rRNA from 3 species
UACGAACCGUACAAACGUUAUUCGGAAUCACUGGGCUUAAAGGGUGCGUAGGCGGCCAUGUAAGUGAGGUGUGAAAUCCCUCGGCUCAACCGAGGAACUGCGCUUCAUACUGCAUGGCUUGAGGGAGACAGGGGUAAGCGGAACUGAUGGUGGAGCGGUGAAAUGCGUUGAUAUCAUCAGGAACACCGGUGGCGAAAGCGGCUUACUGGGUCUCUUCUGACGCUGAGGUACGAAAGCUAGGGUAGCGAACGGG